GACAGAGGGUGCGAACGUUGCUCGGAAUCACUGGGCGUAAAGCGCACGUAGGCGGAUCGCUAAGUCAGGGGUGAAAUCCUGGAGCUCAACUCCAGAACUGCCUUUGAUACUGGCAAUCUCGAGUCCGGGAGAGGUGAGUGGAACUGCGAGUGUAGAGGUGAAAUUCGUAGAUAUUCGCAAGAACACCAGUGGCGAAGGCGGCUCACUGGCCCGGUACUGACGCUGAGGUGCGAAAGCGUGGGGAGCAAACAGG
rnacentral:rRNA from 1 species